CCCCAGAAAGAUCAUGCUUAGGAUUCAUGGCUCAAACCAGCUAUGGGGGGCAUGAGGGCACAAAUUCUCAUUCAGAGUCACAGAAACCUUCAAUUGUAAAUGAACUGGAAUAUAUAACUGGACCUGGUCCUUGAAAUUUUGUGGUCCUUUCAAAGCAAAAUAGAAAAAAAGAAAAAAACAUGUCUGUUGUCUGACUUCUUUUCCCAAGAAACUAAAAACAUAGUGCAAAUGAGCCUUUUGUUGUGGAUCAUCAUCCUUACAAGACCUGUCUCUGAUUCCAACGUUGGAAGAACUUCCCCUCUCUCGCCCAUUUUUACUCAUCCCUGACUUGAAAUAGAUCUCAAGGUCUCAUUUUGACCAUAUAUUCUUUCAGCUACGAGGAGGAAAUGAGGAGAGGUUAAUAUAGCCAUGUAAAAACCAUCAGCAAACUAGAAAACAACUACAGGCUUAACAUCAACAAAACCAGACCAUUUCAUCACAAUUGCCAAACAUGCAGCUGGUCUAGGAGUCAGAGAAGCUUAGCGAGGAUCUAUGGAAGGUGAAGCUGUUGGAGGCUCCACUGAUAUUUCACCUCAAUGAGGAGAGUGAGGAGUCGAUGACUUCAUGCAAAACGAUGCAGCAGUUCACAUCAUUCUGUCAGUCCCCAUCAAGGAAAUAUUGUUUUCCAAAAUUAAAAUUAUGAAUCAACUCACAGGAGAAUGUCGUCAAAUAAACAAAGAAUCAUCAGUUAUAUUACACUGCCAACUUUUUGAUAAGCUUAAUUCUUCUAAAUGCAUUUAACUUUAAGGAAGAGUAAUACAAUUUAAUAACAACAUAAAAUGGGAUCGUUUAUCUUCCAAGUCCUAGAUAUUGGGCAGAUGUCUUCUCUCUUCUUCUUAAUAUAUUGUUUCAAACACAAAAUUUUUUUACUUUUCCCUUCUCCUCCUGAUUUGUUUCUCCUCAUUUCUAUAUAUGUGGUUUGGGGAAUGAGCUCUAUGUAUAUGUUUAACUAAAUCGCUCAUCAGGCUGUAGUUUUCACAGUUGUAAAUCUCUGAGAUUUGUGGAUUUAAGUUCCCAAGGCAGUGCUAUUUAUAUGGCCUAAUACAAUUUGGUAAUUAUUAGCAUAUUAGUAAUGGUUAUUUUAGUUGCAAGUGACAUAAAACCAAAUUCAAACUGAUUUAAACAAAAAGAGAAAUUACUGGCACAUGUAAGUGGGAGAUGAAAGAUGGAUGCUGGUUUCAGGGGCUCAGAUGGGGUGAAUUGGUGCUUCCCAUCUCCUGGCUUGCUUUCCUCUGUGCCACCUUCAUUCUCAGGUAAGCACUCUCCUUACCUGUAGCAAAGGAGUGUUCAUGAAGCAACACAGUAGGUCAUUCACUGAUACUGAGUGAACUUUGGAUAUUUGCAAAUGAGGCAAGGGGCUCCAACUGAGACCAAACUGGGAUUUGGGGUCUCCUUGUGUGUCUGUUCAUGUGAUCUGUACUUUUGUUUUCUUUUUUCUUUCUUUUUUCUUUUUUGGCUUAAGGAGAGGUUUUGUUAUAAGGCUCUGGGAGACAGGCAAGGUGAGGAGGCAUCACGUGGUGCCAUGUCUCCUACAUGACCCAAGAAGCAGUUUUUGAACCUCUGCGAGAAGCACAAUUAUAAUAGAAGGUGAAAUCAGUGCAGCACAGUUUGGAUGCAUCAAGGGCAUGAUAGCUUUGAAAUGCUUCCAGGAGGCAACGUCAGUGCAAGAUAGGACAGCAUGGCACAGAGAAGGAAUGACGAGCCUGAAGGCUAUAGUCUCAUUUUUGAACACCCUCUAGGAGACUUCCAGAGCUGCUUGGGUGAUUGGGGUGGAGAGGCAGAUUGGGGCAGAGAAACAAUGCAGAAGACAUCAUCAGAGUUAAAUCAGAGUAAGUGAAUGUGAAGAUAUAAAGAAAUAGUAUUGUGUGUUGACAACUAUUUCAAGUUGAUAACUCAGUAAAAUACACUGCUUAUAUAGAAAGCCAGUGGCAUUAUCACAGGAUGUUUUUCAUUUGUUGCCUAUAAAGAAGUCAUGUUAUUGCUCUGAAUGGGCUUUCAAAGAUAGAACCAGUGUUAGAAGAGCCGUUUCAGACAUGUUGCAAAUAACCGAGCAACGUUAAGAUUCCUCACAAGAACACUCUUCUUAUAUAACUUCUUCUCUGGUUAAAAGCAUUUAAAAUUUUUAAGAACCAUAUAUAAUAGAAUUUCAGGAAUUAUACAUUCAAAUCAGUCAUGUGGUCUACAAAAGUUAACUGUAAAUUGUUAUCUAGAUAAAAGCCUCUAUUACUUUUGUUUGUAUAAGCUCGGAUUGUAAAUAAAACUGCUGCCAGAAGAAUGCUCAUUAAAGUGGAUUUAAGAUUCCAAA